rnacentral:rRNA from 1 species
CUAAGGUAGCGAAAUUCCUUGUCGGGUAAGUUCCGACCCGCACGAAAGGCGUAACGAUUUGGGCACUGUCUCAACAACAGACUCGGUGAAAUUGUAAUUCCGGUGAAGAUGCCGGAUACCUGCGACAGGACGGAAAGACCCCAUGGAGCUUUACUGUAGCUUGACAUUGGGUCUUGGUACUACAUGUACAGGAUAGGUGGGAGGCUUUGAAACCAGGACGCCAGUUUUGGCGGAGCCAUCCUUGGGAUACCACCCUUGUAGUACUGGGACUCUAACCAUAGGCCAUGAAUCUGGUCUUGGGACACUGUCAGGUGGGCAGUUUGACUGGGGCGGUCGCCUCCCAAAAGGUAACGGAGGCGCUCAAAGGUUCUCUCAGUACGGUCGGAAAUCGUACGUAGAGUGUAAAGGCAAAAGAGAGCUUGAUUGCAAGACAUACAGGUCGAGCAAGGACGAAAGUCGGACUUAGUGAUCCGGUGGUUCCGCAUGGAAGGGCCAUCGCUCAACGGAUAAAAGCUACCCUGGGGAUAACAGGCUGAUCUCCCCCAAGAGUCCACAUCGACGGGGAGGUUUGGCACCUCGAUGUCGGCUCAUCACAUCCUGGGGCUGUAGUAGGUCCCAAGGGUUGGGCUGUUCGCCCAUUAAAGUGGUACGCGAGCUGGGUUCAGAACGUCGUGAGACAGUUCGGUCCCUAUCCGUCGCAGGCGUAGGAAAUUUGAGAAGACCUGUCCUUAGUACGAGAGGACCGGGAUGGACGUACCUCUGGUGUACCAGUUGUCCUGCCAAGGGCAUGGCUGGGUAGCUAUGUACGGAAUGGAUAAGCGCUGAAAGCAUCUAAGCGCGAAGCCAACUUCAAGAUAAGAUUUCCCACCGCAAGGGUAAGACCCCAGAAAGACUAUCUGGUUGAUAGGUCGAAGGUGUAAGUGCAGCAAUGUAUUUAGCUUAUCGAUACUAAUAGGUCGAGGACUUGACCAA